rnacentral:tRNA from 1 species
GCCUGAGUGGCUCAGUCAGUUGAGCGUCUGACUUGGGCUCAGGUCAUGAUCUCACAGUUCGUAGGUUCAAGCCCCGCAUCUGGCU